UUGACCUCGAAUCAGGUAGGACUACCCGCUGAACUUAAGCAUAU
rnacentral:rRNA from 5 species